UACGAAGGGGGCAAGCGUUGCUCGGAAUCACUGGGCGUAAAGGGUGCGUAGGCGGGUCUUUAAGUCAGGGGUGAAAUCCCGGAGCUCAACUCCAGAACUGCCGUUGAUACUGAGGAUCUUGAGUUCGGGAGAGGUGAGUGGAACUGCGAGUGUAGAGGUGAAAUGCGUAGAUAUUCGCAAGAACACCAGUGGCGAAGGCGGCUCACUGGCCCGAUACUGACGCUGAGGCACGAAAGCGUGGGGAGCAAACAGG
rnacentral:rRNA from 1 species